GACGAACGCUGGCGGCGCGCCUAACACAUGCAAGUCGAACGAGCGAGAGAGAGCUUGCUUUCUUGAGCGAGUGGCGAACGGGUGAGUAACGCGUGAGGAACCUGCCUCAAAGAGGGGGACAACAGUUGGAAACGACUGCUAAUACCGCAUAAGCCCACGGUGCCGCAUGGCACAGAGGGAAAAGGAGCAAUCCGCUUUGAGAUGGCCUCGCGUCCGAUUAGCUAGUUGGUGAGGUAACGGCCCACCAAGGCGACGAUCGGUAGCCGGACUGAGAGGUUGAACGACCACAUUGGGACUGAGACACGGCCCAGACUCCUACGGGAGGCAGCAGUGGGGAAUAUUGCACAAUGGGGGAAACCCUGAUGCAGCGACGCCGCGUGGAGGAAGAAGGUCUUCGGAUUGUAAACUCCUGUUGUUGGGGAAGAUAAUGACGGUACCCAACAAGGAAGUGACGGCUAACUACGUG
rnacentral:rRNA from 1 species